rnacentral:lncRNA from 1 species
UGGUUCUAAGCUGUUAUAAAAUGGCAACUCCAUCCAAUACUCGCCCAGAAUCUGACAGAAUGGAAGCCGGCCAUCCCCAUUGUUACACCAACUAGGCAGGUUCGUUUGGUUGUUCUCAAAUAUCUUAAGCAUGUACGCAUCACGGAUCUGUAAAUAAUAACUCAUGUCAAACCUUAUCAGUUCAAGUCAAAAGAAUAUCGACAUGGAAAGAUGACCAAACUGCUGAUACUUACAGUGAAUUCAGUUACUUGAAUCGAGUUUGAAAGGGGACCGAAGACCCCAGCCUCUUUAUACAUCUCAAGGAUAAAGGCAACACAUGUUGUUGAUUUCCCAUCACUGUAGACCCAUUCAUCUUGUUCCGGGAUAGUGAGUAAUUGAUCAAAG